rnacentral:lncRNA from 1 species
UCAAAUCAGGCCGGGGUUAUUCAAUCAGUGUAUAUGGCACUCUUCUAGCAAGGGGUAUGAUUGACUACAGAUGCAUCUAUCUGUUCAGACGUGGAAGGGAAGAUCCCCAGGUCAUCAUCUCCAAGGUGUGCACUAGUCCAUGCCUUGUCUUCUUAUUAGCUUUUACUUACUCAUACAUACGGAGUACUAAUCAAAUCCAGAUAUUGUUAUCCUGUUUAUAAAAAAUCUAUUGUGUAUAGAAGGUAUGUACGCUUGCUGAAUUUCACCAUAAUAUUAUAUGAUCGCUGGUGCACUAGUGAGUAGUUACACAGGUCUGAUA